GAGAUGGGGUUUUGCCAUGUUGGCCGGGCUGGUCUCAAACUCCUCAGGUGAUCCACCCAUCUCGGCCUCCCAAAGUAUUGGAAUUACAGGCAUGAGCCACUGUGCUCGGCCCACUAUAUUCUACAGAAUGAAUUCAGGUGUCCUUCACGUAGACUUUGAUCCCUACAAGGGCAGGAGCACUGUGAUAUUCACUUAUAUUUCCAGCACCUAGCCCAGUGGCUUUCAAACUUGGCUGCACAUUGGAAUCAUGAACAGAGCUUUAAAAAAAAUACUGAUGCUGAGGACUCACCACUCCUGGAUUUGAUUCUGGUGUAAUUGGUCUGGGGUAUCUCUGGGUUUCAGGAUUAAAAAAAAAAAUUUUGUUAGAGACAGGUUCUCGUUCUGUUGCCCAGGCUGGAGUGCAGCGGCAUGAGCACAGCUCACUGUGACCUUCAACUCCUGCCCUCAAGCAAUUCUGCCUUGGCCUCCUAAAGCACUAGGAUUACAGGCACGAGCCACUGUGCCUGGCCUGGAUUUUUAAAACUCUCCAGAUGGUUCCAAUGCAACCAAUAUUGUGAAUCACUUUCCUAACUAAAGCUGAAUUAUGGUAGGAGGAGUUCAGUAAGUGAUGAAUGAAUAAGUAGAUGAAUCCUGCCUUUAACGCACCACAGUUCUGACCCAACAUGACCACAUUCAGAGUUUCAUGUUAUGCUAAUUCAUUAAUAUAUUCAGGAACUAUUAAUUAAACAAUAAUGUGGUACCAGGUAUUAUGCUAGGCCAAGCCACUAGAGAUGGAAAUGUGAAUAAGACUCCCAAUUCUCCCCUCGUUUUUGAUAUGCCUUAGGGAUGGCUGGGGCCUGUCCUAGUUCAUCCAAGAACUUUCUGUCCUGCUGAUUAAUUGGCCAGCUCCAACAGCAAUCAUUUCCCUAGUAACUGAUAGCAAAUCUUACUUCUGGCUGCUUCCUCAGGCAAGUGCUAUCUAAGGACAGACUCUAUUCACUCUCAGAGAGAGGAAGUUCCUAGGGGGUGUGGGCAAGUCAAGAAACCACAAAGAAAGUGGUCUUGUCUAGAUCUCUUCAAGCACUCCAGAAGUGAAAGGAAGAUGCUCAGGUGCAGACCAGAGUCCUGUGCAGCUCAGACAGGCCUCCUUCUGGGUGUGUAUUUACAUAAUGAAAAGGUAAGGCCGGGCGUGGUGGCUCACGUCUGUAAUCCCAGCACUUUGGGAGGCUGAGGUGGGCAGAUCACCUAGGUCAGGAGUUUGAGACCAGCCUGGACAACAUGGGGAAACCUCGUCUCCACUAAAAAUACAAAAAUUAGCCAGGCGUGGUGGCGGGCGCCUGUAAUCUCAGUUACUUGGGAGGCUGAGGCAGGAGAAUUGCUUGAACCAGGGAGGCGGAGGCUGCAGUGAGCUGAUAUCACGUCACG
rnacentral:lncRNA from 10 species